rnacentral:tRNA from 2 species
GCUAGCAUAGCUCAAUUGGUAGAGCAGCUGAUUUGUAAUCAGCAGGUUAUGGGUUCAAGUCCCUUUGCUAGCU